CAGUAGCCACGGUAAUACGUAGGUGGCGAGCGUUGUCCGGAAUUAUUGGGCGCAAAGGGAGCGCAGGCGGACAUAUAAGUCCAUCUUAAAAGUGCGGGGCUCAACCCCGUGAGGGGAUGGAAACUGUAUGCCUUGAGUGCAGGAGAGGAAAGCGGAAUUCCCAGUGUAGCGGUGAAAUGCGUAGAUAUUGGGAGGAACACCAGUGGCGAAGGCGGCUUUCUGGACUGUAACUGACGCCGAGGCUCGAAAGCCAGGGGAGCGAACGGGAUUAGAUACCCGUGUAGUCCCUGUCUCUUAUACC
rnacentral:rRNA from 1 species